AACGCUAGCUACAGGCUUAACACAUGCAAGUCGAGGGGAAACGACAUCGAAAGCUUGCUUUUGAUGGGCGUCGACCGGCGCACGGGUGAGUAACGCGUAUCCAACCUGCCCACCACUUGGGGAUAACCUUGCGAAAGUAAGACUAAUACCCAAUGAUAUCUCUAGAAGACAUCUGAAAGAGAUUAAAGAUUUAUCGGUGAUGGAUGGGGAUGCGUCUGAUUAGCUUGUUGGCGGGGUAACGGCCCACCAAGGCGACGAUCAGUAGGGGUUCUGAGGGGAAGGUCCCCCACAUUGGAACUGAGACACGGUCCAAACUCCUACGGGAGGCAGCAGUGAGGAAUAUUGGUCAAUGGGCGAGAGCCUGAACCAGCCAAGUAGCGUGCAGGAUGACGGCCCUAUGGGUUGUAAACUGCUUUUAUAAGGGAAUAAAGUGAGCCUCGUGAGGCUUUUUGCAUGUACCUUAUGAAUAAGGACCGGCUAAUUCCGUGCCAGCAGCCGCGGUAAUACGGAAGGUCCGGGCGUUAUCCGGAUUUAUUGGGUUUAAAGGGAGCGUAGGCCGGAGAUUAAGCGUGUUGUGAAAUGUAGAUGCUCAACAUCUGCACUGCAGCGCGAACUGGUUUCCUUGAGUACGCACAAAGUGGGCGGAAUUCGUGGUGUAGCGGUGAAAUGCUUAGAUAUCACGAAGAACUCCGAUUG
rnacentral:rRNA from 1 species